rnacentral:rRNA from 1 species
GCCGUACUUAGCCCCAUACAAUCAUAACACAACUACCAACCUUAACUAAAACAAAACAUUUACCUACUAUAAAAGUAUAGGAGAUAGAAAUUCUAACUGGCGCUAUAGAGAAAGUACCGUAAGGGAACAAUGAAAGAAGUCACCAAAGCAACAAACAGCAAAGCUUACCCCUUGUACCUUUUGCAUAAUGAUUUAACUAGAAUGUUUUAGCAAAGAGAACUUAAGUUAACACCCCCGAAACCAGACGAGCUACUCACGAACAGUCUAACAGGGCAAACUCAUCUAUGUGGCAAAAUAGUGAGAUGAUUUGUGAGUAGAGGUGAUAAGCCUAUCGAGCCUGGUGAUAGCUGGUUGUCCAGUAAAAGAAUCUUAGUUCAAACUUAAGCCUACCCAUAAACUUGUAUAAUUUUACUGUAGACUUAAAGUAUAAUCUAAAGAGGGACAGCUCUUUAGAUACAGGCUACAACCUUAACUAGCGAGUAAGUGUAAAACCCCACCAUAGUUGGCCUAAAAGCAGCCACCAAUAAAGAAAGCGUUCAAGCUCAACAACCCAAAUAUCUUAAUCCCUGCUAUCAACACCAACUCCUAGUAUUAAACUGGACCAUUCUAUAACUAUAUAGAAGAGAUACUGUUAAUAUGAGUAACAAGAACUUGAUUCUCCCUGCACAAGUGUAUAUCAGAUCGAAUAAUCACUGAUAGUUAACGUACAUAAAGCAAGCCAAAUGACAAGCCCUUUAUACCCUUCCCUCGUUAAUCCAACACAGGAGUGCCUAAAGGAAAGAUUAAAAGGAGUAAAAGGAACUCGGCAAAUACAAACCCCGCCUGUUUACCAAAAACAUCACCUCUAGCAUUAUCAGUAUUAGAGGCACUGCCUGCCCAGUGACAUACGUUCAACGGCCGCGGUAUCCUGACCGUGCAAAGGUAGCAUAAUCACUUGUUCUCUAAUUAAGGACUUGUAUGAAUGGCCACACGAGGGUUUUACUGUCUCUUACUCCCAAUCAGUGAAAUUGACCUCCCCGUGAAGAGGCGGGGAUACUACAAUAAGACGAGAAGACCCUAUGGAGCUUUAAUUAACUAGCCUAAGAGCUAUACACUAACAACCAAAAGGCACAAAACAACCUCAAAUAGGCUAACAAUUUAGGUUGGGGUGACCUCGGAGCAUAAAAGACCCUCCGAGCAAAUACAAGCUAAGACCUACUAGUCAAAGCCACUUAACUUAUUGAUCCAAUUCUUUUUGAUCAACGAAACAAGUUACCCUAGGGAUAACAGCGCAAUCCUAUUUAAGAGUCCAUAUCGACAAUAGGGUUUACGACCUCGAUGUUGGAUCAGGACAUCCCAAUGGUGCAGCAGCUAUUAAGGGUUCGUUUGUUCAACGAUUAAAGUCCUACGUGAUCUGAGUUCAGACCGGAGUAAUCCAGGUCGGUUUCUAUCUAUUUUACGCCUCUCCCAGUACGAAAGGACAAGAGAGACAAGGCCUCCUUCACACCAAGCGCCUUCUAGCUUAACAGAUGACCUAGUCUUAAUCUGGCAUGCAACAACCAUACUACCCCUAGACCAGGGCCAU